rnacentral:rRNA from 1 species
CGAAUGCUGACAUAAGUAACGAUAAAGCGGGUGAAAAGCCCGCUCGCCGGAAGACCAAGGGUUCCUGUCCAACGUUAAUCGGGGCAGGGUGAGUCGACCCCUAAGGCGAGGCCGAAAGGCGUAGUCGAUGGGAAACAGGUUAAUAUUCCUGUACUUGGUGUUACUGCGAAGGGGGGACGGAGAAGGCUAUGUUGGCCGGGCGACGGUUGUCCCGGUUUAAGCGUGUAGGCUGGUUUUCCAGGCAAAUCCGGAAAAUCAAGGCUGAGGCGUGAUGACGAGGCACUACGGUGCUGAAGCAACAAAUGCCCUGCUUCCAGGAAAAGCCUCUAAGCAUCAGGUAACAUCAAAUCGUACCCCAAACCGACACAGGUGGUCAGGUAGAGAAUACCAAGGCGCUUGAGAGAACUCGGGUGAAGGAACUAGGC